GCUUUCUGAACUGCUUCCAGAGUAGACAACCUUCGCAGAGUUGAUCGGGAUGCUUGAUGGAUGGUAAACCUCUCACCAUCUCUUUCUUUGACAGCAACGCCAAACCGCCAAAAUUUAAGUGCCCAAACCGAAGAUGCCACAACCAAGACUUAUCUUGGUAACAUGCUUUCAGGCAUUUUGCCAUGUCAUUUCGAAUAUUCAAUAAGAACAUUCUAUUUUCAGACAUUGGCACCUUGGCAAUAAGAUUAUUUUUGCCAUCUCUUAUUGAAAGGUUAUAAUCUCUCAUGUGAAUAUCAUAACCUUUCUCUAAGAGUUGUCCCAAACUCAAGAUAUUAUUUUUCAUAUUGGGCACGUAAUAAACAUUGGAAAUAAAUUCAUGAUUUCCAUUCUUCAAGCGAAUUAAAAUUUUUCCUUUUCCUUUAACUGGAAUUUUAGAUUCAUCACCAAAGGAGACGUUGCCACUUACCGACUCAUCGAGCUCCACGAACAUGUUUCUCUUCCCGCACAUGUGGUUGCUUGCACCGGUGUCGAGGUACCACGUGUCAUCUCUUCCAGCUUCUCCUUUAUAUGCCAGAAGCACACUACCAUUUGCUUCGCUCGUGUUCUCGGCAUAAUUGGCCCUUUCUUCAAUCCUUACUUUUUCACUUCUGCACUCGGAAGCAUAGUGCCCAAAUUUAUGGCAAUUAUAACACUUUAUUGAAGACUUAUCGUACCUCGACUGCGGGUUGCUCCUCCCCCGACCACUUGUAAACUCCUUUCUUUCACUACUAUUGACGAAGCCUCCUCGUCCUCGACCACGUCCACGUGCUCGGCCUCUGCCUCGAUCUUGCGCUUGGCCACGUCCUCUCCCGGACUGUCCAUAGCCAUUGCUCGGACCUUCUUCUUUCUCUUUCGGGCUUACGUGCAACUUUAAAAGUUGCUCUGAAAUUUCUUGCUUCUUCUUUUGCUUCUCCUCAUAUGCUUGCAGCGACCCCAACAAGAGAUCGAUCGUCAUCUCCUCCAAAUUUUUAGUUUCUUCGAUCGUCACCACAAUGUGCUCAAACUUUGGGGUUAGUGACCGUAAUAUUUUCUCCAUAAUUCUUACAUCCUCCAAUUUUUCACCAUUUCUUUUCAUUUGAUUAGACACCGCCAAGACUCUUGAAAAAUAAUCCGAAAUCGAUUCGGACUCUUUCAUAUGCAAAGACUCAAACUCUCCUCUUAAAGUUUGAAGUCGUACCUUUUUUACUUGCUCCGCUCCUUUGCACGCGUUCUGGAGCUUCUCCCACGCUUCUUUGGCGGUACUCGCAUUUGAGAUCUUCUCGAAAUCGUCGUCCCCCAGCGCUUGAUAAAUGAGACAGAGAGCCUUCUUGUCUCUCUUUCUCGCGUCUCGCAAUCUAUCCUUUUGUUGUUGGGAUAGUGCGGCCUCGUCCUGCGGCUCCUCGUAGCCAUUCUCCACGAUCUCCCAAACGUCGUGGGCUCCCAAUAGCGCCUUCAUCUUGAUGCUCCAAUUGUCGAAGUUGCUCUUGUUGAGCAUGGGGACUUGAAACGAUUGUAAAUUCGCCAUACCACAAGUAGGAUCUUGUGGCUCUGAUACCACUUUGUUGGAAAUUUAAGAAAUAUGUAAUGGAGAAUUAAUUUGAUUGGCUAAAGGAAAUUUGGAGAAAUUGGUUGUGGACGUGUGUGUGUUUAGGAAUUUGAGUGGGAGGAUUGUUGUUUACUAACAAAAUUUUUCUUCAAUUCACUUCAUUCUCAACAAUUGAUACAACCUCCACAUAUAUAUAGUAGUCAAGUGAGAAUUCUAGAAUUCUCUUGAUUUCUAUCUAGAUUUUUAUACUUAUUUUACUAUUACAAAAUAUCUUCACUUAGUCACUUUUUCUAGAAUUCUCUAUAUUUUUCUUUCUUUCUUUUUCUUCUUAAAAUAUCUUGAUUCUAGAUAUUUCUAAUACAAAAUAUCUUCAUUCUAGAUAUUUCUAAUACAAAUAUCUUCACUUAAAAAAUCAAGUUUAUUUUUAUAUUCCAACAUAAUUCUGGAUCGAUCGGAGUUGUGUUUUGAGAUUACUAAUUUAUAAGUCAGCUUAUAAACUAUCUACUCACUAAUGAUAACAUAAAGAAAAGCCUUAUCAAUAUGUCUUUAUAAAUUGUCCCAUAUGAAAUGAAAUCAAUGGACUAUACUAAGUUCGUAGUAAAUAUGUUAUAUCAUUUAUUUAAGUGUAAUUCCGAAUUUAUAUUGGAGUAAUAUUGGAAUUAAUAUGUCAAAUAAAUAAAUAAAUUAAUUAAUUUGAUUGUUUUAUUCAAUUAAUAUAUUGGACCUCAUGAUUAUUAUUUAUAGGUUCCUACAUUUGUAACUAGACCUAUAACAAUAUAAGGUUCCUAUUAAUUAGUGGGUAAAUCACAACCAUUUUCAUUUUCGAAAAAAUUAAAAAGAAAUCUCAUUAUUCGUUCCACAAAUCACUUUUAAACCAUGACUUGCUCAUCUCAAAAUUAAAACGCGUGAACAAUAUAAUGUGAAGGAUUAGAUCAUUAGACACAUAUUGAUAUUGUCGACGAAUAUAUUUUGUUCAUGUAUAUAUAGAUUUUACACAUCGCUAGAAAAAUGGAUCGUGUGUCUAUAUUAUGAAUAAUCAUGACAUGACAUUUUAUUUUCCUUUCAUUCCCUAUAACAUCAAAAUUUGACUGUACAUGAUAUGAAGUGCAAUAUGAAUUUCAAUUAAAUACUAGCAAUGAAAAAUAUCAAAUCUUUUGCCAAGUCACCAAAAUAAUUCCAGGGACCCCAUAUAGAAUUGUUGAGGAAAUUAUUUACUUAAUAACUAAUUAAUAAAUACUAGUUUCAAUUAUAUUUUAUGGUUACAUUCGCUAUCCCAAGAUUCGCCAUUGAAGUUGACAAGCUUCCUUUCUUCUCACAUUAAUUGUAGUAUAAGGUUAAUGUAUUUAUUAGAUUCUUAAUCCCUUUUAAUUUAUAUAAAAACCAGAUUUAACUAAAUUUGAUGUCCGUUGUCGAUAAGAUAUAUAUACUCCAGGAAUUAAGUAGCUUAGAGCACCCGCAUCGCGGGUACUCGAGGAGGUCCUCGAGGAGACCAUCCCACUCGAGGAGGGCGAUGCGGCGAGGAGCUCCUCGAGGCCUCCUCGAGUUAUCGAGUAUCCUCGAUAGGAAAUGGUGAUGGCGCGUGCAAUGCACGCGCCCAAUUAAAAAAAAAAAAUGAAAAAAUCGAAAAUUCGAAUUUUUAUACACUUUUUGACUGCAGCUCCUCGGUCUCCGCACCUUUGACCGACGAAUUUAUGUAUUUUUUUUUAUGUUUUAAGUAAUUUUAAAUUUUUUUUAUGUUUUAAGUAAUUUUAAAUUUUAUGUUUAAUCCAGUAUUUAAAUAUGCAAUUUAAAUUAUGCAAUAAAAUUUAAAUGAAAAACAUAAAAUCAAAACUAAUAUUAUCAAGGAGGCUAUCAAGGAACCCCAAUGCAGCACUACCUACUCAAUAACACAAACACUAUCAAGGAGGCUAUCAAGGAGGCUAUCAAGGAGGUCCCAAUGCGGAUGCUCUUAUGCUAGAAGAUGAAAGCCCAGCUUUGCAGAUAAACCUCACACUUUUUGACAAAUUUGGAAAAGUUCUAACUUCUUGUUUCUUUUUUUUUUGGAAGCGGUGUGGUUACUUUUUUCUUACAUCAUUAGUUAUAUUAUAAAAAAAAAAGGCAAAUUAAUUUUUCCCAUGAGCGAUGUUAUUGUUUAGUUGACCCAGUUUCUGAUAUAUAUNACGCUCCUUGUCGGUGAUCGGUUGGAUAGGUACACCGCGCACGCCACUGCUUCGGCCCAAACUCUUUAGGCAGAUUCUUCGUCUUUAGCAUGCUCCUCGCCAUCUCCAUAAUUGUCCUAUUUUUUCUUUCCGCCACUCCAUUCUGUUGGGGGGAUCUCGGAACUGUCAGGGGCCGCCGAAUUCCAUUUACUUCGCAAAAUUCUAGAAACUCCCUUGACGUGAAUUCUCCGCCUCGAUCGGACCUCAGGGCCUUGAUUUGUCGUCCGCUCUCCUUCUCGACGGCAGCUUUAAAUUUCUUGAAUGCAUCAAAUACUUCUGACUUCUGCUUCAAGAAAUAUACCCACGUUUUUCUAGAAAAGUCAUCAAUGAAUAGCAGAAAAUAAUUAUUUUUACCGAGGGAGCUUGGAUUUAUCGGCCCACACACGUCAGCAUGAAUCAACUCCAGUGGCUUUUGAGCUCUUGAGCUUGACUCCUUUGGAAACGGCUUUCUGAACUGCUUCCCGAGUAGACAACCUUCGCAGAGUUGAUCGGGAUGUUUGAUGGAUGGUAGGCCUCUCACCAUCUCUUUCUUUGAUAGCAACUCCAAGCCGCCAAAAUUUAAGUGCCCAAACCGUAGAUGCCACAACCAAGACUUAUCUUGGUAACACGCUUUCAGGCAUUUUGCCAUGUCAUUUCGAAUAUUCAAUAAGAACAUUCUAUUUUUAGACAUUGGCACCUUGGCAAUAAGAUUAUUUUUGACAUCUCUUAUUGAAAGGUUAUAAUCUCUCAUGUGAAUAUCAUAACCUUUCUCUAAGAGUUGCCCCAAACUCAAGAUAUUAUUUUUCAUAUUGGGCACGUAAUAAACGUUGGAAAUAAAUUCAUGAUUUCCAUUCUUCAAGCGAAUUAAAAUUUUCCCUUUUCCUUUAACUGGAAUUUUAGAUUCAUCACCAAAGGAGACGUUGCCGCUUACCGACUCAUCGAGCUCCACGAACAUGCUUCUCUUCCCGCACAUGUGGUUGCUUGCACCAGUGUCGAGGUACCACGUGUCAUCUCUUCCAGCUUCUCCUUUAUAUGCCAGAAGCACACUACCAUUUGCUUCGCUCGUGUUCUCGGCAUAAUUGGCCCUCUCUUCAAUCCUUACUUUUUCACUUCUGCACUCGGAAGCAUAGUGCCCAAAUUUAUGGCAAUUAUAACAUUUUAUUGAAGACUUAUCGUACCUCGACUGCGGGUUGCUCCUCCCCCGACCACUUGUAAACUCAUUUCUUUCACCACUGUUGACGAAGCCUCCUCGUCCUCGACCACGUCCACGUGCUCGGCCUCUGCCUCGAUCUUGCCCUUGGCCACGUCCUCUCCCGGACUGUCCAUAUCCAUUGCUCGGACCUUCUUCUUUCUCUUUCGGGCUUACGUGCAACUUUAAAAGUUGCUCUGAAAUUUCUUGCUUCUUCUUUUGCUUCUCCUCAUAUGCUUGCAGCGACCCCAACAAGAGAUCGAUUGUCAUUUCCUCCAAAUUUUUAGUUUCUUCAAUCGUCACCACAAUGUGCUCAAACUUUGGGGUUAGUGACCGCAAUAUUUUCUCCAUAAUUCUUACAUCCUCCAAUUUUUCACCAUUUCUUUUCAUUUGAUUAGAAACCGCCAAGACUCUUGAAAAAUAAUCCGAAAUUGAUUCGGACUCUUUCAUAUGCAAAGACUCAAACUCUCCUCUUAAAGUUUGAAGUCGUACCUUUUUUACUUGCUCCGCUCCUUUGCACGCGUUCUGGAGCUUCUCCCACGCUUCUUUGGCGGUACUCGCAUUUGAGAUCUUCUCGAAAUCAUCGUCCCCCAGCGCUUGAUAAAUGAGACAGAGAGCCUUCUUGUCUCUCUUUCUCGCGUCUCGCAAUCUAUCCUUUUGUUGUUGGGAUAGUGCGGCCUCGUCCUGCGGCUCCUCAUAGCCGUUCUCCACGAUCUCCCAAACGUCGUGGGCUCCCAAUAGCGCCUUCAUCUUGAUGCUCCAAUUGUCGAAGUUGCUCUUGUUGAGCAUGGGGACUUGAAACGAUUGUAGGUUGGCCAUUCCACAGGUAGGAUUUUAUGGCUCGGAUACCACUUUGUUGGAAUAUAAGUAUAUAUAAUGGAGAAUUUAUUUAAUUGGUAGGAGGAAAUUUGGAGAAAUUGGUUGUGGACGUGUGUGUGCUUAGGAAUUUGAGUGGGAGGAUUGGAGUUUGCUAACACAAUCUUUCUUCAAUUCACUUCCUUCUCACUUUCUUUUCAAUCCCAAAACAUGGUUACAUAUUUAUAGUGGUACAUGGUAGUAGCUAGAUGAUUCUAGAGUUCUCUCACAUAUUGUUUUCCUAACACUUCUCUAGAAUUUUCUAUACACUCUAGAAUGAUCUAGUUUUAGCUAUUUCUUCUUAAUUAUAACUUAUUCUUAAUUAUUCUAGAUCUUUCUCUUUUCUCUAUCUCAUUCUCAACUAAUCUAGAAUAAUCUUUACAAAAUAUCUAUACAAAUCAAGUUUAUAUUCCAACA
rnacentral:lncRNA from 1 species